CGUCAACACUUGCUGGUUUCCUC
rnacentral:miRNA from 7 species